UGACACCGGUUUCGACGGGAAGCUCUUUUACAAAACUGCAAGCCAAGUUUGAUAAACACUUGUCAAAAGAUAUCAAAAACUAAAAGCAAAACAAAAUUUUGCUUCUGUUAAUCAAUAUCGUGAUAUGCAUUUUGCAUAUUUAACGAUUGAUGCUUAACGGCGUCCUGAAGUCUGAUUCUCGAUCGGACCGACUGGGUGUAAACCAAUUCGAGAUGCUUUACAGAUUUUAAUGAUUUAAAGAUCUGUAACAAAGACAAAUAAAUCUCACUUUAAAAUUCCUGUUAGUUGGAUAAUUUUUAAAGGAAAUUAUAAAAACUAAAUACGCUUGUAAAGGUUUUGUUUAUAAGUUUUUCGGAUGAGGGUUCGAUUCCCUCCAUCUCCACCA
rnacentral:tmRNA from 1 species